rnacentral:lncRNA from 1 species
CAUACGGAGUUCAUUCCCAGUCCAAGAUUGGAUCGGAUCAAGGGUUGUGGCAGCAGGAUUGACAACACACAGGGGGGGAUCGGGCCGAUCCCCGGCUUGCGCAUUCUACCUUUUCGACCGACUGAGUACCCGCACGCUCGUUUCGUGGGUUGGCUUAGGCAUACGGAGUUCAUUCCAUGUCUAAGCAUACGGAGUUCAUUCUCAGUCUAAGAGUUUGAGCCACGGUGCACAUGCUGGGCUCGGGCAUGUGCUCGUGCCACAUUUUUUCACCCGGGGCAACAUCGUCGGAGCAUCGUCGGAGAGCCUAAUCGGCGGCAUUGAGGGUUCCGGUGAUUGGGGGGGCCGGAGGGUGUACGCAUAUGAUGUGCAAUGGGUGCUGGUACUUGGCCCUUAUAUUGGCCCCCUAUCCCUCAUCAAACCUCAAGAACUCACACCCCAUCAAAGAGCAUUUGAGAUUUUAUAGGUUUGCUGCCAGUAGCCAUUAAAGUGUCUAGAAUGGGCACACUUUUUUCAAAUGGUCACAAAAUCUUCUCCACUUCGAUUUUUUAGAUGAAUUUUUUUAUGCAUGCCAACAAAAAUACAGGGAUCACUUCUACCAAAUUUUAGGACAAAAAUCUUUCUAAAACAAUUUUAAAAAAUCCUGAACCGUAAAAAGUUUCAAAAAUCGUGAAAAAUAGAAAACGGGUCGUCUUGCCAUGAAACUUCACAUGAAGGCUUAGGGGACCAUUGUAUGAAUUUAAAAGCCAUAAAAAUGGCAUUGCCAUGGCAGAAAUAUGAAGAUGUGCUUGAACCCACCUACCACACGUUCAAUCCUCGACUUACGCAUCCUGCCUCUCUGAUCGGUUGAGCGUCCGCACGCUCAUUUCGUGGGUUGACUUAGGCAUACGAAGUUCAUCCCUAGUCUAAGCAUACAGAGUUCAUUCCCAGUCUAAGAUCAGACCGGACCAAUGGUUGCGACCGGGUCGAUCCUCGGCUUACGCAUUCUGCCUCUUCGACCGGUUGAGCACCCGUAAGCCCAUUUCAUGGGUUGGCUUAGGUAUAAGGAGUUCAUUCCAUGUCUAAGCCCUAGCUGGACUGAGGUUUGUGGGAGCAAGACUGGCAGCACACAAAGGGGGACCGGGCCGAUCCGCUACUUGCGCAUUAUGCCUCUCCGAUUGGCUCAGCGCCCUAACGCUCGUUUCAUGGGUUAGCUUAGGCAUAUGGAAUUCAUUCCAUGUUUAAGCAUACAGAGUUCAUUCCCAAUCUAAGAUCAGACCGACAGUAGUGACAGCAGGACCGGUAACAGGAUCGAUAGCAUGCAGGGGGAUCGGGUCGGUCCUCGACUUACGCAUUCUGCCUUUUCGGCUGGCUGAGCGCCCGUACGCUCGUUUCAUGGGUUGGCUUAGGCAUACGGAGUUUAUUCCAUGUCUAAGCAUACGGAGUUCUUUCCCAGUCUAAGAUUGGAUCGGAUCAAGGGUUGUGAUAGUAGGACCAGCAGUAGGAUCGGUAGCACGCAGGAAGGACCGGGUCGAUCCUCGACUUACGUAUUCUACCUCUUCGAUCGGGUGAAUGCCCGUACGCUUGUUUCAUGGGUAGGCUUGGGCAUACGGAGUUCAUUCCAUGUCUAAGCAUACAGAGUUCAUUCCCAGUCUAAGAUCAAAUCAGACCAAGGGUUGCCGCAGCAGGACCAGUAGCAGGAUCGACAGCACGCAGGGGGGGAUCGAGCCAAUCCCCGACUUGCGCAUUCUACCUCUCCGGCCGGCUGAGCACCCGCACUCUUGUUUUAUGGGUUGGCUUAGGUAUACAGAGUUCAUUCCAUGUCUAAGCAUACGGAGUUCAUUCCCAGUCUAAGAUCGGAUCGGACCAAGGGUUACGAUAGCAGGACCAGUAGUAGGAUCGACAGCACGUAGGGGGGAUCAGAUCGAUCCCCAGCUUGUGCAUUCUGCCUCUCCGGUCGACUGAGUGCCUGUACGUUCGUUUCGUGGGUUGGCUUAGGGAUAGGGAGUUCAUUCCAUGUCUAAGCCCCAACCAGACCGAGGGUUGUGGCAGUAGGACCGACAGCGGGAUUGGCAUCACGCGGAGGGUGACCGAGCUGAUCCCCGGCUUGUGCAUUAUGUCUCUCCGAUCGACUGAACACUCGUACGCUCAUUUCAUGGGUUGACUUAGGCAUACGGAGUUCAUCCCCAUUCUAAGCAUAUAGAGUUCAUUCCCAAUCUAGGAUCAGACCGAACCGAGGGUUGCGGUAGCAGGAUCGACAGCAUGCAUGGGGGACUGGACUGAUCCCCGACUUGCGCAUUCUGCCUCUCCGACCGGCUUGAGGCCCGCACGCCGUUUUGAGGGUUGGCUUAGGCAUCGGGAGUUAUCCAUUCCUAAGCCCAGUCAAACUGAAAGGUUGUGGUAGUGGCCUACAGUCACGUAGAAGGGAUCGGGCUGAUCCCCGGCUUAUGCAUAUGCCUCCUGAUCAGCUCAGCGCCCGCACGUCGUUCGUGGGUUGACUUAGGCAAUACAAGUUCAUUCCCAGUCUAAGAUUCGAUAGAGGUGCGCCUAGGUGCAACACGUAGAGGAUGGCCGAUCCUGGUUGCGCAUGCUCUGGCGAACAACACUCAUCUAGGUCGGCUAGAAUGGAAGCAAUCCAUUGCUAAGCUUGGAUUCAACUCCUAAGAUCGACCGAUUGGACGAGCUAGCGCCACGUACUGCUGGAUUGGCCGACCUGCAGCUUCGACGGGCGCACACUCGUUUCGUGGGUUGGCUUAAGCAUACGAAGUUCAUUCCAUGUCUAAGCCUAGUCAGACCGAGGGUUGUGACAGCAUGACUCGUAGUGGGAUCGGUAGCAUGCAGAGGGGGACCGAGUUGAUCCCCGGCUUAUGCAUUAUGUCUCUCCGACCGGCCUCUUCCACCGGCUGAGAGCCCACACGUUCAUUUCGUGGGUUGACUUAGGCAUACGGAGUUCAUCCCUAGUCUAAGCAUGUGGAGCUCAUUCCCAGUCUAAGAUCGGACCGGACCGAGGGUUGCGACAGAAAGAUCGACAGCAUGCAGGGGGGAUCGGGUCGAUCCUCGGCUUACGCAUUCUGCCUCUCCGGUCGGUUGAGCUCCCGCACGCCCGUUUCAUGGGUUGGCUUAGGCAUAGGGAGUUCAUUCCAUGUCUAAGCCCUAGUCGGACCGAGGGUUGUGGUAACAGGAUCGGUAGCACGUAGAGGGGGACCGGGUCGAUCCCUGGCUUGCGUAUUAUGCCUUUUCAGUGGGCUCAGCGCCUGAACGCUUGUUUCAUGGGUUGACUUAGGCAUACAAAGCUCAUUCCCAGUCUAAGAUCAGACGGGACCGAGGGUUGCGAUAGCAGGAUCGAUAGCAUGCAGGGGGGAUCGGGUCGAUCCCCGGCUUGCGUAUUCUGCCUCUCCGGUUGGCUGAGUGCUCGCAUGCUCCUUUCAUGGGUUGGCUUAGGCAUACAGAGUUCAUUCCAUGUCUAAGCAUACGAAGAUCAUUCCCAGUCUAAGAUCAGACCGGAUCGAGGCUUGCAGCAGCAGGAUCGACAGCACGUAGGGGGGACUGAGCCGAUCCUCGGCUUGAGCAUUCUGCCUCUUUAGUCGGCUGAGCGCCCGCACGCUCGUUUCGUGGGUUAGGCAUACAGAUUUCAUCCCCAGUCUAAGCAUACGAAGUUCAUUCCCAGUCUAAGAUUGAACUGGACCGAGGGUUGUAGUAGUAGGAUCGGCAGUACGCAGGGGGGACCGAGCUGAUCCCCAACUUGCGCAUUCUGCCUCUUCGACCGGCUGAGCACCCGCAUGCCCGUUUCGUGGGUUGGCUUAGGCGUAGGGAGUUCAUUCCAUGUCUAAGCCCCAGUCAGACCAAGAGUUGUGGCGACGGGAUCGACAGCAUGUAGAGGGGGAUCGGGUCGAUCCCUGGCUUGCGCAUUCUGCCUCUCCGACUGGCUGAACGCUCGCACACUCAUUUCAUGGGUUGGCUUAGGCAUACGGAGUUCAUUCCUUGUCUAAGCAUACGGAGUUCAUUCCUAGUCUAAGAGUUUGAGCCAUGGUGCAAAUGCUGGGCUCGGGCAUGUGCUGGUGUCACAUUUUUUUCACCCGAGGUACCAUCGCCGGAGCAUCACCGGAUAGCCUAACCGGCGGCAUUGGGGGUUCCGACGAUCGGGGGGCUGGGGGGUGUGCGCAUAUGAUGUGCGAUGGGUGCUGGUACUUGGCCCUUAUAUUGGCCCCCUAUCCCUCAUCAAACCUCAAGAACUCACACCCCCUUAAAGAGCAUUUGGGAUUUUAUAGGUUUGCGGCCAGUAACCAUUAAAGUGUUUGAAAUGGGGACACUUUUUUCAAACGGUCAAAAAAUCUUCUCCACUUCGAGUUUUUAGCUGAAUUUUUUUGUGCAUGCCAACAAUUGUGAAAAGUGAAAAUUGUGAAACUCUUUCUAAAACAAUUUUAAAAAAUCUCGAACCGUAAAAAGUUUUAAAAAUUGUGAAAAGUAGAAAAUGGGUCGUCUUGCCAUGAAACUUCACAUGAAGGGGUAGGGGACAUUGUAUGAAUUUACAAGCCAUAAAAAUGGCAUUGGCACGGCAAAAAUAUGAAUAUGUGCUUGAACCCACCUACCACCCGUUCGAUCCCCGGCUUGCACAUCCUGCCUCUCUGGUCGGCUUAACGUCUGCACGCUCGUUUCCUGGGUUGACUUAGGCAUACGGAGUUCAUCUCUAGUCUAAGCAUACGAAGUUCAUUCCCAGUCUAAGAUUGGAUAGGAUCAAGGGUUACGACUAUAGGAUCGAAAGCACGCAGGAGGGUCCGCCCCGAUCCUCAGCUUGCGCAUUCUGCCUCUCAGACCGGCUGAGCACCUGCACGCUCGUUUCGUGGGUUGGCUUAGGCAUAGGGAGUUCAUUCCAUGUCUAAGCCCCAGCCGAACCGAGGGUUGUGGCAGUGGGACCGACAGCACGCAGAAGGGGAUCGGGUCGAUCCCCGGCUUGCCCAUUAUGCCUCUCCAGUCGGCUCAGCACCCGCAUGUUCGUUUUGUGGGUUGACUUAGGCAUACGGAGUUCAUUCCCAGUCUAAGAUCAGACCAGACCGAGGGUUGCGGUAGCAAGAUCGAUAGCACGUAGGGGGGAACCGAGCCGGUCCCUGGCUUGCGUAUUUUGCCUCUCCGGUCGACUGAGCCCCCGCAUGCUCGUUUCAUGGGUUGGCUUAGGCAUACGGAGUUCAUUCCAUGUCUAAGCAUAUGGAGUUCAUUCCCAUUCUAAGAUCGGAUCGGAUCGAGGGUUGCGGUAGCAUGACCAAUAGUAGGAUCGACAGCACGCAGGGGGGAUCGGGCCGAUCCCCGACUUGCGCAUUCUACAUCUUCGGCCGGCUGAGCUCUCGCAUGCUCGUUUCAUGGCUUGGCUUAGGCAUACGGAGUUCAUUCCAUGUCUAAGCCCCAGUCGGACCAAGGGUUGUGGCAGUAGGACCGGUAGCAGGAUCGACAGCAUGUAGAGGAGGAUCGAGCUUAUCCCAGGCUUGGGCAUUAUGUCUUUUCGGUCGACCUCUCCGACUGGCUGAGUGCCCGCACACUCGUGUCAUGGGUUGACUUAGGCCUACAGAGUUCAUCCCCAGUCUAAGCAUACGGAGUUCAUUCCCAGUCUAAGAUCGGACCAAACUAAGGGCUGCGACAGCAAGAUCGACAGCAUGCAGGGUGGACCAGGGCGAUCCCCGACUUGCGCAUUCUACCUCUGCGGUCGGUUGAAUGCCCGUAUGCCCGUUUCGUUGGUUGGCUUAGGCAUAGGGAGUUGAUUCCAUGUCUAAGCCCUAGUCGGACCGAGGGUUGUGGUAGCGAGAUCGAUAGCAAACAGAGGGGGACCGAGCUGAUCCCUGACUUACGUAUUAUGCCUAUUCGGUUGGCUCAGCACCUGAACGCUCGUUUCGUGGGUUGACUUAGGCAUACAGAGUUCAUUCCCAGUCUAAGAUCGGAUCAGACCGAGGGUUGCGAUAGCACACAGGGGGGAUUUGGCCAGUCCCUAGCUUGUGCAUUCUGCCUCUCCGAUGGGCUGAGCGCCCGCACGCUCGUUUCGUGGGUUGGCUUAGGCAUACGGAGUUUAUUCCAUGUCUAAGCAUAUGGAGUUCAUUCCCAGUCUAAGAUCGGAUCGGAUCGAGGGUUGCGGCAGCAGGAUCGACAUCAUGCAGGGGGGAUCGGGCCGAUCCACGGCUUGCACAUUCUGCCUCUCUGGCCGGUUGAGCGCUCGCACGCUCGUUUCAUGGGUAGGCUUAGGCAUACGAAGUUCAUUCAAUGUCUAAGCCCCAGUCGGACUGAGGGUUGUGGCAGCAGAAUCGACAGCAGGAUCAGCAGCACGCAAAGGGGGAUCGGGCUAAUCCCCGACUUGUGCAUUAUGUCUCUCUGACCAGCCUCUUCGAUUGACUGAGUGUACGCAUGCUCGUUUCAUAGGUUGACUUAGGCAUACAGAGUUCAUCCCCGGCUUACGUAUUCUACCUCUCCGACCGACUGAACGCUCGCAUGCUCGUUUCGUGGGUUGACUUAGGCAUACGAAAUUCAUCCUCAGUCUAAGCAUACGGAGUUCAUUCCCAGUCUAAGAUCAAAUCGGACCGAGGGUUGCGAUAGUAGGAUCAGUAGCACGCAGGGGAGACCGGGCCGAUCCCCGGCUUGCGCAUUCUACCUCUCCGGUCGGUUGAGCGCCCGCACGCCCGUUUCAUGGGUUGGCUUCGGCAUAGGGAGUUCAUUCCAUGUCUAAGCCCCAACCAGACCGAGGGUUGUUGCAGAGGGACCGGUAGCAUGCAGAUGGGGACCGGGCCGAUCCCCGGCUUGCACAUUCUGCCUUUCCAGCCGGGUGAGCGCCCGCACGCUCGUUUCGUGGGUUGGCUUAGGCAUACGGAGUUCAUUCCAUGUCUAAGCAUAUGGAGUUCACUCCCAGUCUAAGAGUUUGAGCCACGGUGCACAUGCUGCACUCGGGCAUGUGCUGGUACCACCUUUUUUUGCUUGGGGCACCAUCACCGGAGCACCGUCGAAGAGCCUAACCGGUGGCAUUAGGGGUUCCGAUGAUUGGGGGGCCGAAGGGGUGUGUGCACAUGAUGUGCGAUGGGUGCUGGUACUUGGCCCUCAUAUUGGCCCCCUAUCCCUCAUCAAACCUCGAGAACUCACACCCCCUUAAAGGGCAUUUGAGAUUUUAUAGAUUUGCUGCCAAUAGCCAUUAAAGUGUUUAAAAUGGGGACACUUUUUUCAAACGGUCACAAAAUCUUCUCCACUUCGAGUUUUUAGCUGAAUUUUUUUGUGCAUUCCAACAAAAAUACAAGGAUCACCUAUACCAAAUUUGGGGACAAAUUUCUUUCCAAAAAAAAUUUUAAAAAAUCUUGAACCGUAAAAAGUUUCAAAAAUCGUGAAAAGUAGAAAACGGGUCGUCUUGCCAUGAAACUUCACAUGAAGGUGUAGGGGACCAUUGUACGAAUUUACAGGCCACAAAAAUGGCUUUGGCAGGGCAGAAAUAUGAAGAUGUGCUUGAACCCACCUACCACCCGUUCGAUCCCUGGCUUAUGCAUCCUGCCUCUCUGGUCGGCUGAGCGUCUGCACGCUCGUUUCGUGGGUUGACUUAGGCAUACGGAGUUUAUCCCCAGUCUAAGCAUACAAAGUUCAUUCCCAGUCUAAGAUCAGACCAGACCGAGGGUUGCGACAGUAGGAUCGGUAGCACACAGGGGGGACCGGGCUGAUCCCCGACUUGCACAUUCUGCCUCUCGACCGGCUGAGCUCCCACACGCCGUUUGUGGGUUGGCUUAGGUAUAGGGAGUUCAUUCCAUGUCUAAGACCCAGUCGGACCGAGGGUUGUGACAGCACACAGAGGGGGAUCGGGCCAAUCCUCAGCUUACGCAUUAUGCCUCUCCGGUUGGCUCAGCACCCGUACACUCAUUUCGUAGGUUGACUUAGGUAUACGGAGUUCAUUCCCAGUCUAAGAUCGGACCGGACCGAGGGUUGCGGUAGCAGGAUCGAUAGCACACAGAGGGGGAUCGGGCCGGUCCCCGGCUUGCGCAUUCUGCCUCUCCGAUCGGCUAAGCCCGCCCGUUAGUUUCGUGGGUUGGCUUAGGCAUACGAGUUCAUUCCAUGUCUAACCAUACGAAGUUCUUUCCCAUUCUAAGAUCGGACUGGACCGAGGUUUGCGAUAGCAGGACCAACAGCAGGAUCGGUAGCACGUAGGGGGGACCAGGCUGAUCCUCGCUUGUGCAUUCUGCCUCUUCGACUAGUUGAGCACCCGCACACACGUUCGUUUCAUGGGUUGGUUUAGGCAUACGGAGUUCAUUCCAUGUCUAAGCAUACAGAGUUCAUUCCCAAUCUAAGAUCAGACCAGACCGAGGGUUGCGGCAGCAGGAUUGACAGCCCGCAAGGGGGACCGGGCUGAUCCCUCGGCUUACGCAUUUUGCCUCUUCGACUGGCCGAGCGCCUGCACUCUCGUUUCGUGGGUUGGCUUCGGCAUAUGAAGUUCAUUCCAUGUCUAAGCCCCUGUCGGACCGAGGGUUGUGGUAGCAAGACCGGCAGCGGGAUUCACAGCACGUAGAGAGAGACCGGGCCGAUCCCCGGCCUGCCCAUUAUGCCUUUCUGGUCGACUGAGCACCCGCAUGCUCGUUUCAUGGUUGACUUAGGCAUACAGAGUUCAUCCCCAGUCUAAGCAUACGGAGUUUAUUCCCAGUCUAAGAUCAGACCGAACCAAGGGUUACGGUAGUAGGAUCGAUAGCAUGCUGAGGGGACAGGGUCGAUCCCCGACUUGCGCAUUCUGGCUCUCUGGCUGGCUGAGGGCUCGGAUGCCCAUUUCGUGGGUUGGGUUAGGCAUAGGGAGUUCAUUCCAUGUCUAAGCCCUAGUCAGACUGAGGGUUAUGGCAGCGAGACCGGUAGAACAUAGAGAGGGAUCAGGCCGAUCCCCAGCUUGCGCAUUAUGCCUCUUCGGUCGGCUCAGUGCCCGCACGCUCGUUUCGUGGGUUGACUUAUGCAUAUCAAGUUCAGUCCCAGUCUAAGAUUAGAUCGGGCUGAGGGUUGUGGUAGCAGGAUCGACAGCACGCAGGGGGGAUCAAGCCGAUCCCCGACUUGCGCAUUCUGCCUCUCCAGUCAACUGAGCGCCCUCACGCUUGUUUCGUGGGUUGGCUUAGGCAUACGGAGUUCAUUCCAUGUCUAAGCAUACAGAGUUCAUUCCAUGUCUAAGCAUAUGGAUUGCUUUUCCAGUCAAAUAUUUUGAGCCAUGGUGCACAUGCGUGGGCUCGAGCAUGUUGUUGGUGCCGUAUUUUUCUUCGCUCGGGGCCCAUCACCGGAGCAUUGGUCGGAGGCAUUGGGGGUUCCGAUGAUUUGGGCGGGACCGGUGGGAGUGUGCGCAGCAUGAUGUGGCAAUGGGUGGCUGGUACUGGUGGCCCUUAUAUUGGCCCCCCUAUCCCUCAUCAAACCUUGAGAACUCACAACCCCCUUAAGAGCAUUUGAGAUUUUAUAGGUUUGCUGCCAGUAGCCAUUAAAGUGUCUGAAAUGGGGACACUUUUUUCAAACGGUCACAAAAUUCUUCUCCACUUCGAGUUUUUAGCUGAAUUUUUUUGUGCAUGCCAACAAAAAAUACAAGGAUGCACCUCUACCAAAUUUGGGAACAAAACUCUUUCUAAAAAAAUUUAAAAAAACCCUGAACCACAAAAAGUUUCAAAAAUCAUGAAAAAUAGAAAACGAGUCGUCUUGCCACGAAAUUUCACUUGAAGGCUUAGGGGACCGUUGUAUGAAUUUACAUGCCAUAAAAAUGGCAUUGGCAUGGCAGAAAUAUGACAAUGUGCUUGAACCCACCUACCACCCGUUCGAUCCCCGACUUGCGCAUCCUACCUCUCUAGUCGGCUGAGCGCCCGUACGCUCGUUUCGUGGGUUGACUUCAGCAUACAGAGUUCAUCCCCAGUCUAAGCAUACGAUUUUCAUUCCCGGUCUAAGAUUGGAUCGAACCGGAGGCUGCGACAGCAAUAUCGACAGCACGCAGGGGGAAGCGGGUCGAUCCCCAGCUUGCGCAUUCUGCCUCUCCGGCCGACUGAGCGCCCGCACGUCCAUUUCAUGGGUUGGCUUAGGGAUAGGGAGUUCAUUCCAUGUCUAAGCGCCAGCCAAACUGAGGGUUGUGGCAGUGGGACUGGCAGCACGCAGAGGGCGAUGGGGCCGAUCCUCGACUUGCGCAUUAUGCCUCUCCGAUCGGCUCAACGCCCACACGCUCGUUUCGUGGGUUGACUUAGGCAUAUGGAGUUCAUUUCAGUCUAAGAUCGGACCGAACCGAGGGUUGCGGGAGUAGGAUCGAUAGCAUACAGGGGGGACCCGGCUAGUCCCUAGCUUGCGCAUUCUACCUCUCCGAUCGUUUGAGUGCCCGUACGCUCGUUUCGUGGGUUGGGUUAGGCAUACGGAGUUUAUUCCAUGUCUAAGCAUACGGAGUUCAUUCCCAAUCUAAGAUCGGAUCGGACCGAGGGUUGCGACAGCAGGACCAGCAAUAGGAUUGCAGCACACAGAGGGGGAUCAGGUUGAUCCUCGGCUUACGUAUUCUACCUCUCCGACCGGCUGAACAUCCGCACGCUCGUUUCGUGGGUUGGCUUAGGCAUACGAAGUUCAUUCCAUGUCUAAGCCCCAGCCGGACCAAGGGUUAUAGCAGCAGGACCGAUAGCGGGAUCGGCAGCACGCAGAGGGGGAUCGGGCUGAUCCUCGGCUUGCACAUUAUGCCUCUCCGGCCAGCCUCUCCGGUCGACUGAGCACCCACACGCUCAUUUUGUGGGUUGGCUUAGGCAUACGGAGUUCAUCCCCAGUUUAAGCAUACGGAGUUCAUUCCAUGUCUAAGCAUACGGAGUUCAUUGCCAGUCUAAGAUCGGACUGGACCAAAGGUUGCAGUAGCAGGAUCGACAGCACAUAGGAGGUGACUGGGCCGAUCUCCAACUUGCACAUUCUGCCUCUCCGACCAGCUGAGCACCACACGCUUGUUUCAUGGGUUGGCUUAGGCAUACGGAGUUCAUUCCAUGUCUAAGCAUACAGAGUUCAUUCCCAGUCUAAGAUUUUGAGCCACAGUGCACAUGCUGGGCUCGAGCAUGUGCUGGUACCACAUUUUUUUUGCUCGGGGCACCAUUGUCGAAGCAUCACCGGAGCAUCGUCGGAGAGCCUAACCGGUGGCAUUGGGGGUACCGGCGAUUGGGGAGGCCGGGGGGGUGUGCGCACAUCAUGUGCGAUGGUUGCUGGUACUUGGCCCUUAUAUUGGCUCCCUAUCCCUCAUUAAACCUCAAGAACUCACACCCCUUUAAAGAGCAUUUGAGAUUUUAUAGGUUUGCUGCCAGUAGCCAUUAAAGUGUCUGAAAUGGGGACACUUUUUUCAAACGGUCACAAAAUCUUCUCCACUUCGAGUUUUUAGCUGAAUUUUUUUGUGCAUGCCAACAAAAAUACAAGGAAACCUCUACCAAAUUUGGGGACAAAACUCUUUCUAAAAAAAUUUUAAAAAAUCUCGAACCGUAAAAAGUUUCGAAAAUCAUGAAAAAUAGAAAAUGGGUCAUCUCGCCAUGAAACUUCACAUGAAGUCUGAGCGCCAGCAUGCCCGUUUUGUGGGUUGGCUUAGGAAUAGGGAGUCCAUUCCAUGUCUAAGCCCCAGCCAGACCAAGAGUUGUGGCAGCGGGACCGACAGCAUGCUGAGGGGACCGGGUCGAUCCCUGGCUUGCGCAUUAUGCCUCUUCGGUCGGCUCAGUGCCUGUACGCUCGUUUCAUGGGUUGACUUAUGCAUACGGAGUUCAUUCCUAGUCUAAGAUUGGACAAGACCGAGAGUUGCGAUAGUAGGAUCAAUAGCACGCAGGGGAGGAUCGGGCCAUCCCCGACUUGUGCAUUCUGCCUCUCCGGCCGGCUAAGUGCCCGCAUGCUCGUUUCAUGGGUUGGCUUAGGCAUACGGAGUUCAUUCCAUGUCUAAGCAUAUGGAGUUCAUUCCUAGUCUAAGAUUGGACUGGACCGAAGUUGCGGCAGCAGGAUCGGUAGCACGUAGGGGGGGAUCGGGCCGAUCCCCGGCUUGGGUAUUCUGCCUUUCCGACUGACUGAGUGCCUGCACGCUCGUUUUCUGGGUUAGCUUAGCCAUACGGAGUUCAUUCCAUCUCUAAGCGCUAGCCGGACCGAGGGACAUGGUAGCAGGAUCGGCGGCAUGCAGAGGGGGACCGAGCUGAUCCUCGGCUUACGUAUUAUGCCUCUUCGGUUGGCUGAGUGUCCGCACACUCUUUUCAUGGGUUGACUUAGGCACACGGAGUUCAUCCCCAGUCGAAGCAAAUAGAGUUCAUUCCCAGUCUAAGAUCGGAUCGGAUCGAGGGUUACGGUAGCAGGAUCGAUAGUACACAGAGGGGAUUGGGCCGAUCCCCGACAUGCGCAUUCUACCUCUCCAGCCAGCUGAGUGCCCAUACGCCCAUUUCGUGGGUUGGCUUAGGCAUAAGGAGUUCAUUCCAUGUCCAACCCCCAGCCGGACCAAGGGUUGUGGCAGUGGGAUUAGCAGACUGCAGAGGAGGAUUGGGCCGAACCCUGGCUUGCGCAUUAUGCCUCUUCGGUCGGCUCAGCACCCAUACACUCGUUUCGUGGCUUGACUUAUGCAUACAGAGUUCAUUCCCAGUCUAAGAUCAGACUGAACCAAGGGUUAUGAUAGCAGGAUCGACAGCAAGCAGGGGGGAUCGAGCCGAUUCCCGGCUUGCACAUUUUGCCUCUUCGACCGACUGAGCGCCCGCACGCUUGUUGCGUGGCUUGGCUUAGGCAUAUGAAGUUCAUUCCAUGUCUAAGCAUACAGAGUUCAUUCCCAGUCUAAGAUUUUGAGCCACGGUGCACAUGCUGGGCUAAGGCAUGUGCUGGUGCCGCAUUUUUUUUGCCCGGGGCACCAUCGUCGGAGCAUCGCCGGAGAGCCUAACCGACGGCAUUGGGGGUUCCGACGAUUGGGGGGGUUGGGGGGUGUGCGGACAUGAUGUGUGAUGGGUGCUGGUACUUGACCCUUAUAUUGGCCCCAUAUCCCUCAUCAAACCUUGAGAACUCACACCCCCUUAAAGAGCAUUUGAGAUUUUAUAGGUUUGCUGCCAGUAGCCAUUAAAGUGUCUGAAAUGGGGACACUUUUUUCAAACGGUCACAAAAUCUUCUCCAGUUUGAGUUUUUCGCUGAAUUUUUUUUUGCAUGCUAAAAAAAAUACAAGGAUCAUCUCUACCAAAUUUGGGGACAAAAAUCUUUCUAAAAAAUUUUUAAAAAAUCCCGAACCGCAAAAAGUUUCAAAAAUCAUGAAAAAUAAAAAACGGGUCAUCUUGCCACGAAACUUCACAUGAAGGCUUAGGGGACCAUUGUAUGAAUUUAAAAGCCAUACAAAUGGUAUUGGCAUGGUAGAAAUAUGAAGAUGUGCUUGGACACACCUACCAUCCGUUUGAUCCCCGACUUGUGCAUCUUGCCUCUCUGGUCGACUGAGGACUCGCAUGCUCGUUUCGUGGGUUGACCUAGGCAUACGGAGUUCAUCCCCAGUCUAAGCAUACAGAGUUCAUUCCUAGUCUAAGAUCAAACUGGGAUGAAGGUUGCGAUAGCAGGAUCGACAGCACGUAGGGGGGACUGGGCCAUCCCUGACUUGUACAUUCUGCCUCUCCAAUCGACAAAGCGCCCGCAUGCUCGUUUCGUGGGUUGGCUUAGGCAUACGGAGUUCAUUCCAUGUCUAAGCAUAUGGAGUUCAUUCCCAAUCUAAGAUUUUGAGCCUCGGUGUACAUGCUGGGCUCGGGCAUGUACUGGUGCCGUAUUUUUUUUGCUCGGGGCACCAUCGCCGGAGCAUCACUGGAGAGCCUAACCGACGGCAUUGGGGGUUCCGGAGAUUGGGGUGCCGGGGGGUGUGCACACAUGAUGUGCGAUGGGUGCUGGUACUUGGCCCUUAUAUUGGCCCCCUAUCCCUCAUCAAAUCUUGAGAACUCACACCCCCUUAAAGAGCAUUUGAGAUUUUAUAGCUUUGUUACCAGUAGCCAUUAAAGUGUUUGAAAUGGGGACUCUUUUUUCAAACGGUCACAAAAUCUUCUCCACUUUGACUUUUUAGCUGAAUUUUUUUAUGCAUGCCAACAGAAAUACAAGGAUCAUGAACCGAAAAAAGUUUUGAAAAUUGUGAAAAAUAGAAAACAGGUCAUCUUGCCACGAAACUUCACAUGAAGGCUUAGGGGACCAUUGUAUGAAUUUACAAGCCAUAAAAAUGGCAUUGGGACGGCAGAAAUAUGAAGAUGUGCUUGAACCCACCUACCACACGUUCGAUCUUAGGCUUGCGCAUCCUGUCUCUCUGGUCGACUGAGUGCCCGUACGCUCGUUUCAUGGGUUGACUUAGGCAUACGGAGUUCAUCCUCAGUCUAAGCAUAAGGAGUUCAUUCCCAGUCUAGGAUCGGAUCGGAUCGAUGGUUGCGGUAGCAGGAUCGGUAGCACGCAGGGGGGAUCGAGCCAAUUCCCGGCUUACGCAUUCUGCCUCUCCGAUCAGCUGAGUGCCUGUACGCCCGUUUCAUGGGUUGGCUUAGGCAUAUGGAGUUCAUUCCAUGUCUAAGCAUAUGGAGUUCAUUCCCAGUCUAAGAUUGGACCAGAUCGAGGGUUGCGAUAGUAGGACUAGUAGCAGGAUCGGUAGCAUGCAGGGGGGGAUCAGUCCGAUCCUCGGCUUGUGCAUUCUGCCUCUCCGACUGACUGAGCGCCUGCAAGCUCGUUUCGUGGGUUGGCUUAGCCAGACAGAGUUCAUUCCAUCUCUAAGCCCCAGCCGGACCGAGGGUUGUGGUAGCAGGACCGACAGCACGCAGAGAGGGAUCGGCCUGAUCCCCGGCUUACGUAUUAUGCCUCUCUGAUCGGCUGAAUGCCCGCACGCUCAUUUCGUGGGUUGACUUAGGCCCACAGAGUUCAUCCCCAGUCGAAGCAAACAGAGUUCAUUCCCAGUCUAAGAUCAAAUCAGAUCGAGGGUUAUGGUAGCAGGAUCGAUAGUACGUAGAAGGGAUCGGGCCGAUCCCCGACUUGCGCAUUUUGCCUCUCCAGCCAGCUGCGCCGCAUGCUCUUUCUUGUGGGUCCAUGCUAACCAACCCAACGCGGACCAAGGGUGUUGGCAGUGGGAUGCAGAAUGUAGAAGGGGAUUGGGUCGACCCCUUGCGCAUUAUGCUCUUCGGGCUCAGCGCCCACAACUCAUUUCGUGGCUUGACUUUUGCAUACGGAGUUCGUUCCCAGUCUAAGAUUGGACCAAACCAAGGGUUACAACAGCAGGAUCGACAGCAAGCAGGGGGGAUCAGGCUGAUCACCGGCUUGCGCAUUCUACCUCUUCGGCCGGCUGAGCCCCCGCACGCUUGUUUUGUGGGUUGGCUUAGGCAUACGGAGUUCAUUCCAUGUCUAAGCAUACGUAGUUCAUUCGAUUUUGAGCCACGGUGCACAUGCUUGGCUCCAGCAUGUGCUGGUGCCGCAUUUUUUUCACUCGGGACAGCAUCGCCGGAGCAUCGCCAGAGCAUCGCCGGAGUACCGUCGGAGAACCUGACCGGCGGCAUUGGGGUUCCGGCGAUUGGGAGGGGGGCCGGGGGGGUGUGCGCACAUGAUGUGCGAUGGGUGCUGGUACUUGGCCCUUGUAUUGGCCCCCUAUCCCUCAUCAAACCUCUGAGAACUCACACCCCCUUAAAGAGCAUUUGAGAUUUUACAGGUUUGCUGCCAGUAGCCGUUCAAGUGUCUGAAAUGGGGACACUUUUUUCAAACGGUCACGAAAUCUUCUCCGGUUCGAGUUUUUAGCUGAAUUUUUUUGUGCAUGCCAACAAAAAUAGAAGGAUCACGUCCACAAAAUUUGGGGCCAAAACUCCUUCUAAAAAAAUUCUAAAAAAUCCCGAACCGCAAAAAGUUUCGAAAAUCGUGAAAAAUAGAAAACGAGUCAUCUUCCAACGAAACUUCACGUGAAGGCUUAGGGGACCAUUGUAUGAAUUUACAAGCCAUAAAAAUGGCAUUGGCACGGCAGAAAUUUGAAGAUGUGCCUAAACCCACCUAGCACCCGAUCGAUCCCCGGCUUGCGCAUCCUGCCUCUCCGGCCGGCUGAGCGCCCGCACGCUCGUUCCGUGGGUUGACUUAGCCAUACGGAGUUCAUUCCAUGUCUAAGCCCCAGUCGGACCGAGGGUCGCGGCAGCUGGACCGGCAGCGGGAUUGGCAGCAGCACGCGGGGGGACCGGGCCGAUCCCCGGCUUGCGCAUUAUGCCCCUCCAGUCGACUGAGCGCCCGCACGCUCGUUUCGUGGGUUGACUUAGGCAUACGGAGUUCAUUCCCGAUCUAAGCAUACGGAGCUCAUUCUCGGUCUAAGAUCGGACCGACAGCGGGAUUGGCAGCAGCACGCGGGGGGGACCGGAUCGGUCUCCGGCUUGCGCAUUAUGCCCCUCCGGCCGGCUGAGCGCCCGCACGCUCGUUCCGUUGGUUGACUUAGGCACACGGAGUUCAUUCCAUGUCUAAG